UCUGUUGCGUUGCUCGUUUGUUUGUCCUUUGCAGGUGUACGGAGCAAUGGACGGGGCUAGGGUGACGUGGCGCAGGGUGUACGGAGGCUGGUCGCGGAAGGCUUGGCUACGACGCCUAGAUCUUCUAGGGUUCCUUGCUGUUGAUUUUUUGUUUUGGGCUAUCGGGCUGGUAAUUUGGGUUUAGAAAAUUGGGUUUAGGGUCUGUUUAGGUUUAGAUUCGGGUUUGGGUAGAGAUUUGGGCCGUUGGGCUGGUAUUGGGUCUCCGUAAUUGGGCUAGGGUCAGGUUAGUGGGUCUUAGUGGGCUAGGUUCAUUGAUUUGGGUUAUCAGUUUGUAAAUGGACUAUUUUAUGGGACAUUUAUUCUAUUUAUUUUGUUGUUUUUGUUUAUGUGGGCCGAGCAUAAAUUAGGUAUUACAUGCUCUAAAGAUGAUCGAGCCCAUAGCUGGUAUGUUGGAUACAUG
rnacentral:lncRNA from 1 species